UUCUUUUCCAGGUUGGCUGCGU
rnacentral:miRNA from 1 species